CCUACGGGAGGCAGCAGUGAGGAAUAUUGGUCAAUGGACGAGAGUCUGAACCAGCCAAGUAGCGUGAAGGAUGACGGCCCUAUGGGUUGUAAACUGCUUUUAUAUGGGAAUAAAAUGGACCACGUGUGGGAUGUUGUAUGUACCAUAUGAAUAAGGAGCGGCUAACUCCGUGCCAGCAGCCGCGGUAAUACGGAGGAUCCGAGCGUUAUCCGGAUUUAUUGGGUUUAAAGGGAGCGUAGGAGGAUUGUUAAGUCAGUGGUGAAAGUUUGCGGCUCAACCGGAAAAUUGCAGUUUAAACUGGCAGUCUUGAGUACAGUUGCGGUGGGCGGACUUCGUGGUGUAGCGG
rnacentral:rRNA from 1 species